AGAUCAUGGCGUUUGCACUGGUGCUAGUGCCGGGCAUGGGGUGUGAUGUGCCCCCCCGCACGGAGAGGGCCGGGGUGGGGUGUGAUGUGUGCCCCACACACUGAUGGGGCUGGUGAUGGCUCCCACGCAGUGAAGGGGGCUGAGGGAGGUGGUGGGGGGUUCCCUUCUUGCUCCGAAGCAAUUCUGACCUGUCUCUUGCAGGCUUUGAAGAGGCCGUGGCCGAGCUGUCUCAGGAGCUGGGAAGACUGGCCCAGAACCUGCAGGCGCUGACCCAUUACCAGGCCACCCUCCUCAGCGUCAACAAGAGCCUGUGCUCGUGGAUGGAGAACAUCAAUGAAUUAUCCAAGCAUCGGAAACGUCUCCCCACAUUUGCAGCUCCUGGAAAGUGAGCUAGGAAUUGUCUGGUAGAUUGCACAGUGCCCAUAGCAGAGAAUGUCUGAACUUAUUUUGGUCCCUGUGAUAAGGGAAGGGAGCAAAUCCCUCUCUGAGUCUUCAGUGAGCCCCCUGGAAACUGUGUUAUAGGCUGAGGAAUAAACAGAAUACCCCAUUAAA